rnacentral:rRNA from 1 species
UACGUAGGGUGCAAGCGUUGUCCGGAAUUAUUGGGCGUAAAGAGCUCGUAGGCGGUCUGUCGCGUCGGCUGUGAAAACCCGGAGCUCAACUCCGGGCCUGCAGUCGAUACGGGCAGACUGGAGUUCGGCGGGGGAGACUGGAAUUCCUGGUGUAGCGGUGAAAUGCGCAGAUAUCAGGAGGAACACCGGUGGCGAAGGCGGGUCUCUGGGCCGAUACUGACGCUGAGGAGCGAAAGCGUGGGGAGCAAACAGG